GGUGACCAUGAAGACAUCAGUGACUCUACUCAUCUGCGUGUGUGUACACCAUGUAGCCACCUCGCCUCUUCCCAUAACCGUCUCUAGUAGAGACGGCUAUGCUCUUCCUCAGUUUGACUAUCCAGAAACUUCUUUUUCUGGCAUUCCCACAUCGUUAAGUGACAUGGGGUUACCUACCGACUUUCGUAGGCAUACUGGGGUUUCCUCUGGAUUGAACAACAGGUUUUCCUCUAGAUUGGGUGAUGAUUUUACCUCUGGAUCGAACAACAGGUUUUUCUCUAGAUUGGAUGAUGAUUUUACCUCUGGAUUGGGUAACAAGCAGCAGAUUGAUCCGACUCAAAGCUACUUGAUGCAGUGUGUUCAUAGACCAGGCACUGGUCUAUCUCCCACUACAUUGUGUAGUGUAUGGCAGAGCGUAGGAGGCAACGGUGGUUUUCCUAGUGGCAACGGUGGUAUUACUGGUGGCAACGGUGGUGGCAACGGUGGUGGCACUAGAGACUAUCCUGACCCGAGAGGAGAAGAAGAAGGCGGUGGAAGUGAAGAAACUAAUGAAGGAGUUCCUACUGAUGAUGAUGCUGAACUAGUCAAGGAAUAUAAAGCUAGCCGCAGAGGCCAGAGGGUCAUAGGAUCGCAAUACAAUCACUUCUGAGAUCACAAUUCCCAACGUAAUACUUGAACAUCGUGCAUGUUCAGGAUGACCUUCUCAAGGAAUUACAUUACCUACUCGGAGGAAUCAGGGACAGUGCACAAGAUGAAAAUUGAAAAGGAAACAAUGUUUUGUAACUAUCUUAAUGAUUUUUAAAAUUCUUUUUAAGUAUUUAGUUUUUGAUACUAGUGAGUCAGGAAUAGUAUUGUGAAUCAUUUCUGAUGUGCAUAUAUUGUAUAGGCCUAUGCCGCCUAUGUGUGUAUAGUUAAUAGUUAUGUAAGAUAAAUAUGUUUUGCAUAAUAAAAAAAUUUAUUUAUAUUUUGAAUAA